rnacentral:rRNA from 1 species
AACGAACGCUGGCGGCAUGCCUAACACAUGCGAGUCGAACGAGACCUUCGGGUCUAGUGGCGCACGGGUGCGUAACGCGUGGGAACCUGCCCUUAGGUUCGGAAUAACUCCCCGAAAGGGGUGCUAAUACCGGAUAAUGUCUUCGGACCAAAGAUUUAUCGCCUUUGGAUGGGCCCGCGUUGGAUUAGCUAGUUGGUAGGGUAAAAGCCUACCAAGGCGACGAUCCAUAGCUGGUCUGAGAGGAUGAUCAGCCACACUGGGACUGAGACACGGCCCAGACUCCUACGGGAGGCAGCAGUGGGGAAUAUUGGACAAUGGGCGAAAGCCUGAUCCAGCAAUGCCGCGUGAGUGAUGAAGGCCUUAGGGUUGUAAAGCUCUUUUACCCGGGAUGAUAAUGACAGUACCGGAAGAAUAAGCUCCGGCUAACUCCGUG